AGAAAAAUGAUUCAUUCACAGAACUUUCUAUUAAAUACCAAAUAAAUGUUCCAAUCUUUAACGUUGAUAGAAUUCCCAUACUUGCCAAAGUACCUUGGGCACUCGUGCCUAUUAUGUGGAUUGAGCAGAAACUUCUAGUGACAGCUCAAGAAAUGCAAGAUUUUAUUAAGGUAUCACCGUACAGUCGUGCAUUCCAUGAAGAAAUGGUCCCUGUGAAUAUUUUUCGGUUUACAAUGAUUGUAGUAUGCCUUUUGAUUUUGAUUGUCUGCAUAAUAUUACUAAGUUUAUUGAUUCUAAAAACAAAGCCGCCUUUGGAGUUAAAAGUUAAAGACUUCGAUGAAAAAGAUUCAAUAUAGUGUCUCUUGUUCCAAGAUAAGAACAUUAAAACUCUAAGUAGACAUACUGUACUUUUGCUAAUGUAGAAUAUAAUAUGUUCUUAAAAAUAAUCAA